GGAUGCGAUCAUACCAGCACUAAAGCACCGGAUCCCAUCAGAACUUCGAAGUUAAGCGUGCCUGGGCGAGAGUAGUACUAGGAUGGGUGACCUCCUGGGAAGUCCUCGUGUUGCAUUCC
rnacentral:rRNA from 1 species